rnacentral:lncRNA from 1 species
CAAGUCCAAAUUUAAAUAAUAGUCCAAGAAAAUAAAUAAAACUUAAAUAAAAUAAGUAAACGUCGUUCGAUGUCCUCAUCAGAAACAGUUUAUGAGAGCUAGAGAUCCAGUAAAACAUGAAGUGCAUGUUAACUAAUAAUGCAUGCAAACCUUCUAGUUUGCUAUGGAGGUCCAAGCAUAUAGCCAGUUUUUUGAAAAUUUAUAUCAAUAACAAUUAUUAAUUCUCAUACACAGGAAAAGUCUAUGCAGUUGGCAUCACGAGAAGAAGAAUAUUUAAUUUGAUCACUGGGAAAAACAAAAGGACAAGUUAUAGGUUUUUCUAAUGAACCAUAGCAUUCUCAGAAGAAAUAACAAGCCAGAGGCUGAUUUUAUUCAUAAAAUUGUGAAAAGAAGUGUUUAGAUAUCAUAGGACUUUAUAUCUAUUGAUAAUAAUGACCCCAAUAUUGUCAACCAAUAUGUCUUGCUAAACGGGGAAUAGAAUAAACUCAGACUUGAUUACCAAAUAACAGCAUUGACAAUAACUCAUGAAAAAACAACUAUUCUUCUAGUGUGAUUUUUCUGCAUCACUAGUUUUAAGGAGAUACUUAACAUAAAGAUAUCAAGCUUCACAAAAAUUAAAUUAAAUCAAUGAUAAACAGCAUCCAACGUGAUCGUGACAUUUCAAGCCCCUGCAUUACAAGAGAGAAUAACAAUAGCAUGAUCCAAAAAUGUAGAAUUUUUAGGUAAUCAUGCUAAAAAAUCUGACUAGAACAACAAUCAUAAUAAUUCGACAUCAGCUUGAAAAAAUGAACAUUCUGUUGAAAAUAGCAUGACAAUCUUACUGUACAUUAAUAUUGAAUUAGAUGUAAGCAAGGUAAUGAGAGAAGUGAGCAUUCUCAGCUUUCCAGUCAUCAGUAAGAGAGUUUUUCUAGUGAAUUUUUUGAACGAAAAUCAUAGCAUCAAAUUAGAGAUAAGAGAAUGGAGGUUGGUUAUCAUUUGCUGGUAGCACAAAACAAGGAAAGAAGACAAGUAAAAGAUCAUUUCUUCGACGAAAAUAUUAUUUGUUUAUUCAAGAAUGCAGAUGGGAUUACUUGAAAAAUCUAACACCGAGACCCCUGUCUCUCUCACUACAACACUUCUUUUACUAAAUUUAAGAUAAUCUCAGGCAACUCUUGCUGUUUCCUUUAUAAUAAAUUUCAACUAACAAAGUUUGUUUAUCAUAGCAUAAAAUAGAAAUUAAAAUAUAAAACAAAGCACGAAUCUUAUGUAAUAUUCCAUUUAUUUUCUGGUUGUCCAACUCAUACAGAAAUGCACAAUGGGUUACAUCUUGAUAGUCAAGAGUCACAUAUAAUUUAUUUGUCUUUUCUUUCACCUGUUCCAUUUAUACCCGGAAGGUACUGGAAGAAGGUAUUUAGCCUCCCCUCU